GUUGAGUGUGAAGACCUGAGGUAUCAGGGGUAGGGGUUGCUCUGCUUGUGUAAGUCCCAUAGUGUGAAGGCCAGAGAACCAAGAGAUGGUCAAGAAGAGAGAGUAAGUGUCCAAUGUCCCAGCUCAAGAAGAGAGAAAACUUUUGUGGAUAGCUAAGUUACUGCUAGCCAUCUGAUUAUAGCAAUGGCUUCCAGGAGCAUCACGACCUGUGCAGACUCCCCAGCAUCAUAACAGGAAGGUCCCACGAUCACGAGCACAUUGCCUUCAGCAUCCAGCACUGAAUAUGGUGAAUUGCACUCUGAAGAGCUUCCUAAGCUUGUAAGAAAGUGAUUCUGAAAAGCUCAACAUUUUGGUAGAAUGGAGAGAUUUGACAUUGCUUCUGCUCCAAAAGCAAAAGACUUGGCCCAGAAGCUAAAAAUCACCUGCCAUCUUGGAAAUAAUCCCUGGAGGAUCAAGUCCAAGGGGGAGAAGUGGACUGGUCACCCCAGCCGAGGUUAUCUAAGUUCCAUGGCUUACUCCAGACAGGAAGCCCCACAUCCUGCAGCCUCAUUCAUAAUCCAUAAUAGAUGGUGUUCUUGGAUCCCAAGUUGAGAAAAGAAGUUAACUAUGCACAUUUUGGCAAAGAUGCAGACCAGGGUUUGAUCUAAGCAGCUAUCACAUAAAAUAAUAAAGUACAAAUGGAAAUGGCAAAAAUGUGCCCAUAUCACAGUGCAGAGUGUGCCAAAGCUGACCGAAAAAUUAUGCAUUUUUCAUGUUUCAAUAAACGUACUUAACUGGC
rnacentral:lncRNA from 1 species